rnacentral:lncRNA from 10 species
UUGCCUCUAGAGGGAAUGAACAGGAGGAGGGGCCAUGAGAUUUAUUCUAUAGUCAUUCUACCAAGCAACAUGGCCUCUAAUUGGGUCGAACAAAUGCUCUAUAUGGAGAACCACCAUAUAUGCAUUUAACUUGCAGACUAACAGCCCAAGUGUGAGAGAGGACGAUGUAAAUAGUGUGGGAAAUUCCCUAGAGUGAGUGUGACAUGUAAGGUCGGAAUCUGCUGCUCAGCCACUCUCAGCUCCUUCAGUCUCUCUUAGACGUGAACAUGUGCUCUGGCCUAAGUGUGAUCCUAGUUUUUUAAGAUUUGCAUAUUUUAAACAAUGUGGCUUCUACUAAGUGAGAGCCAACGAUUACAUUUGGUACCCAGCCAAAGAAAACAGAAAAUGAUUCCACUUCUAGAAUUAAAACAAAACAAAACAACUAUGCUGGUCUCAUUAAGAGAAGUCAUGUGGCCUCCAACACAAUGUCUUCCCAAGGAAUUUUUCAGAGUGAUUUUGAUUACAUGCAACUUUUCCUUCCCUGUGAACUUUAGAACCCCAGGUAACCACCUCAUACCAUGAAAGAUCGGAGGCAG